rnacentral:rRNA from 1 species
GCCCUUUUCCGGUUGAUCCUGCCGGAGGCCAUUGCUAUCGGGGUCCGAUUAAGCCAUGCUAGUCGCACGGGUUUAGACCCGUGGCGGAAAGCUCAGUAACACAUGGCCAAACUGCCCUGUGGAUCAGGAUAACCUCGGGAAACUGAGGCUAAUUCUGAAUAAGGCUCACAUCUUGGAGUAGAGUGAGUCUGAAAUGCUACGGCGCCACAGGAUGUGGCUGCGGCCGAUUAGGUAGACGGUGGGGUAACGGCCCACCGUGCCCAUAAUCGGUACGGGUUGUGAGAGCAAGAGCCCGGAGACGGUAUCUGAGACAAGAUACCGGGCCCUACGGGGCGCAGCAGGCGCGAAACCUUUACACUGUGCGAGAGCGCGAUAAGGGGACCCCGAGUGCGAGGGCAUAUAGUCCUCGCUUUUCUGGACUGUAGGGAGGUCUAGGAAUAAGAGCUGGGCAAGACCGGUGCCAGCCGCCGCGGUAAUACCGGCAGCUCAAGUGAUGGCCGAUUUUAUUGGGCCUAAAGCGUCCGUAGCCGGCCAGACAGGUCCGUCGGGAAAUCUGCACGCCCAACGUGCAGACGUCCGGCGGAAACCAGCUGGCUUGGGGCCGGAAGACCCAGGGGGUACGUCCGGGGUAGGAGUGAAAUCCUGUAAUCCCGGACGGACCGCCGGUGGCGAAAGCGCCCUGGAGGACGGACCCGACGGUGAGGGACGAAAGCUAGGGUCACGAACCGGAUUA